GGGGUUGUGGCUCAGUGGUAGAGUGCUCGCCUAGCAUGUGAGAGGCCCCCGGGUUUGAUCCUCAGCACCA
rnacentral:tRNA from 1 species